rnacentral:rRNA from 1 species
UGGGGAAUUUUGGACAAUGGGCGAAAGCCUGAUCCAGCAAUGCCGCGUGUGUGAAGAAGGCCUUCGGGUUGUAAAGCACUUUUGUCCGGAAAGAAAUCCUUGGCUCUAAUACAGUCGGGGGAUGACGGUACCGGAAGAAUAAGCACCGGCUAACUACGUGCCAGCAGCCGCGGUAAUACGUAGGGUGCAAGCGUUAAUCGGAAUUACUGGGCGUAAAGCGUGCGCAGGCGGUUUGCUAAGACCGAUGUGAAAUCCCCGGGCUCAACCUGGGAACUGCAUUGGUGACUGGCAGGCUAGAGUAUGGCAGAGGGGGGUAGAAUUCCACGUGUAGCAGUGAAAUGCGUAGAGAUGUGGAGGAAUACCGAUGGCGAAGGCAGCCCCCUGGGCCAAAUACUGACGCUCAUGCACGAAAGCGUGGGGGAGCAAAACAGGAUUAGAUACCCCUGGUAGUCCACGCCCUAAACGAUGUCAACUAGUUGUUGGGGAUUCAUUUCCUUAGUAACGUAGCUAACGCGUGAAGUUGACCGCCUGGGGAGUACGGUCGCAAGAUUAAAACUU